rnacentral:rRNA from 1 species
CUGACACAGGGAGGUAGUGACAAGAAAUAACAAUACAGGGCUAUCUUAGUCUUGUAAUUGGAAUGAGUACAAUUUACAUCUCUUCACGAGGAUCAAUUGGAGGGCAAGUCUGGUGCCAGCAGCCGCGGUAAUUCCAGCUCCAAUAGCGUAUAUUAAAGUUGUUGCAGUUAAAACGCUCGUAGUCGGAUUUCGGGGCGGGCCCGCCGGUCUGCCGAUGGGUAUGCACUGGCGGGCGCGUCCUUCCUUCCGGAGACUGGCCCUACUCUUAACUGAGCGGGGUCGGGAGACGGAUCGUUUACUUUGAAAAAUCAGAGUGUUUCAAGCAGGCAGCUCGCUCUUGCAUGGAUUAGCAUGGGAUAAUGAAAUAGGACUUUGGUGCUAUUUUGUUGGUUUCGAACACCGAAGUAAUGAUUAACAGGGACAGUCAGGGGCACUCGUAUUCCGCCGAGAGAGGUGAAAUUCUCAGACCAGCGGAAGACGAACCACUGCGAAAGCAUUUGCCGA